GCCGGAGUGGCGGAAUGGCAGACGCGCUAGACUCAAAAUCUAGUUUCCGAAAGGGAGUGGGGGUUCAAGUCCCUCCUUCGGUACCA
rnacentral:tRNA from 1 species